rnacentral:lncRNA from 1 species
AGAUGCCUUAUUUGUUUGGCUGGAGCGAGCCAUUAAUCCCUAAUUCUGGAUCAGCAAGCGAGGGGGAAAGACCGGACCGCUACGAUCCACCCCCUCCCUGCCCCCACCGCCCAUCCUAAAGCACCUUAUAUCGCGGAAACCACUCAGCCUCCUCUUUCCUCCGAGAACACGCGGAGCAGCCCCUGAAAACGCUUUGGUCCUCUGCAGGUUUGAGCAGAGCUAGCAGCUCUUUCGCCUUUGGAUUUCUAGGGCUAUGCCUAUAUGAAAUUCUUUAUUUCAUCGAUCAUUUCGAUUUUCAUGCGAGAACUCUUCAGUCUUGCAGUUUGCAGGAUUCUAAACCAAGAAGGGGUGGAGAUUGGAGAAUGCGGUUCUGGCGUGUGGUCUGAGGGAGGGGUUAGAUGGGUAAGGGCGCGCGGGAUGCGCAAAUCGCUGAGACUGCACAGAGGACAAUCUGAGGACUCGCUUUCAAGACUCCAUCUCAGGAAAACAUUUCUCUCGUCCUGACUGCAUCUUCUCACCUUCCGAAGCCGGGAUUGAGUUGGGAACUCCCCUGUCGCCCCGCACAUUGCAGGGGCUCCCCGAGCUCGAUUCUAUAGGGGGAGCGCUCUGGGGUCUCCGCACAAAACCUGCUUUUGAGCCCUUUGGCUUUCUUCAGGCGAGCGCAGUCCGUCCAUCCCCCUGGCCCACCCAGCCGCAAGGGAUGCUGUGAAAAGAGCCGCUGCUUGCCGCCUCCGGCCUGCCGUCCAGAGGGCUCCGCCCGUAGAGGCUUAUAUGGAGUAAAAUAAUGUAGAAUGCUGCAUCACCUCAGCGCCGUGAAUUUAGAAGUUCCAGCAUGUUGUGAAGCAGACACAUCUUUGCUAUGAACACUGUGACUCACUACAUCAGUGCUGGUAUAAUAAAAUGCUUCUAAUGAUGUAGCUGUUAAAUUUUCUAAAAUAAAGAUCAGUUUAUUUUGUGAUGGCACAAUGAAAGAGGUGUUUAAUUUUUUACUAGAUUUUAAAAUAAAGCUUAUAAAAAUAUUAAGUUAAAA